rnacentral:lncRNA from 10 species
AGCCUCCUGAGUAGCUGGGACUAGAGGCGUGUGUCACCACACCCAGCUAAGUUUUGUAUUUUUAGUAGAGAUGGGGUUUCACCAUGUUUGCCAGGAUGGUCUCUAUCUCCUGACCUUGUGAUCCACCCACCUCAGCCUCCCAAAGUGCUGGGAUUGCAGGUGGGAGCCACCGGGUCCAGCCUCUCCGGCGAUUUUCAUACCUGCAUACUCUGAUCACUACUCUGUUAAACAGUCAAGGAGGGUAAGUAUUAUCUUCAGAUUUCCAGAGCUCUGUCUCUGUACAGCCCUCUCCUCCUCAAUAUUCUGCCCUAUGAAUUCUAGCCACAUUGGCCUUCCCAGACUCACAGUUCUGUCUUCUCAACUCAGGAAGAUCUCUGAGCUCCAUCUGCAUUCUUUCUUCCUGUGCUGUGGCCUGGAAAGUUUUCUAAGGUGUUUGGGAGGUCAAUUGUGGGGCUAGCCUCAUUUGUUUCUCAUCUCUUGAGGAUCACUGCCCUUUGAUGCUUGAUUCCAGUGAUUGAUUCCCUUUGUUGCUUGAGGGCCAUAGUUUCAUAUAUUUUGUCCAGUAUUUUUGUUGUUUUAGGUCAGAAAGUAAUUUUGGUCUCUGUUACUCCAUCUUGGCCAGAAGUGUAAGACCUAAGCAUUUACACAUCAAAAUACUGCACACAUAAUUUUAGUUUAAGCUACCUUUAAAAAAAUCUGCUUCAUUUUCCAUUAAGCAUUCUAUUUAGGGUAUUACAUUGGUUUUUUUGAAAUUCUGUUAUUGGCAGUUUCUAUUGCCUAUCAAUCCCAUUUAAAGAUAGUGCAUAGGGUAUUCUAAAAUAGCUGUUAAGCAAAGAGAAAAUUGGGCCUGAUAGGGUGAGAAUCACAGCUCUAAUACCUAGAGUGACCUUAUAAUGUAUUGUCCAAAGGAGAUAUUUUUGACAGUGAAAGAGGGUGUUGUUAGUAAUUAUAUCAGGACCAUGGCCUAAACCAGGACUAUCCCAGGCAGCCUGGGACAUAUUUGUACCCCAUCUCUAUUUAAUGCCUUUAUACAAUUCUUUACUUAAUUCUACCAGCCUUUAUUGAGCCUGCUUUCUUUGUCUAGCUGAGUGCCACGUGCUGACGUCACUAAGAUCAAUACAGCAAACUCUGAAAGAUGGACAGAGAGACAGGAGAUGGUCCUUUAUAAUGCAGUGUGAUCUGUGCUGCAAUAGAGAUGGAAGAGUGUUCUGAUCAGCUGGAAAACAACGCACAUGGGAAGCUGUACAGAAAUGAGUGGGGAAAGUUUUGGAAGCUAGAAGUUCAAAACGAGGUGUUGGCAGCACCAUGCUCUCUCUGAAGAUGCUAGGAAGAAUCUGCUCCAUGCCUUUCCAUUCGCUCCUGGGGUUUCCUGCAAGCCCUGACAUUCCUUGGCUUGUAGAUACACCACCCCAGUUUCCGCCCCCAUCAUCACAUGGCCUCCUCUCUGUGGGUGCCUCUGCGUUCCCUCUAUUCUUCUUCUAAGGACACCGACACCAGUCAUAGUGGAUUAAGGGUCCACUCCUAACUAAUUACAUCUGCAACCACCCUAUUUCCAAAUAAAGUCACAUUCUAAGAUUCCUAGGGAGAACAUG